UACAGAGGGUGCGAGCGUUGUUCGGAAUUACUGGGCGUAAAGCGCGUGUAGGCGGUUCAUUAAGUCAGAUGUGAAAUCCCGGGGCCUAACUCCGGAAGUGCAUUUGAAACUGAUGAGCUGGAGUGAUGUAGAGGAUGGCGGAAUACCCAGUGUAGUGGUGAAAUACGUAGAGAUUGGGUAGAACACCGGUGGCGAAGGCGGCCAUCUGGGCAUUAACUGACGCUGAGACGCGAAAGCGUGGGGAGCAAACAGG
rnacentral:rRNA from 1 species